rnacentral:rRNA from 1 species
ACUCAAAUGAAUAGACGGGUCCCCGCACAAGCAGCGGAGCGUGUGGUUUAAUUCGUUGCUACGCGAAAAACCUUACCUGGGUUUGACAUAGCAGUGGUAGGGAAGAGAAAUCGGACCGACCCUUCGGGGAGCUGUUACAGGUGUUGCAUGGCUGUCGUCAGCUCGUGUCGUGAGAUGUUCGGUUAAGUCCGCUAACGAGCGCAACCCGCGUUGUGUGUUAUAUGUGUCACACAAUACCGCCGGUAUUAAGUCGGAGGAAGGUGCGGAUGACGUCAAGUCAGCAUGACCUUUAUAUCCAGGGCUACACACACGCUACAAUGGCCAGCACAACAGGUUGCCAAGCCGCGAGGCGGAGCCAAUCCUCCAAAGCUGGUCUCAGUUCAGAUUGUAGGCUGCAACUCGCCUGCAUGAAGUUGGAGUUGCUAGUAACCGCAGGUCAGAACUACUGCGGUGAAUACGUUCCCGGGGAUUGCACACACCGCCCGU